rnacentral:lncRNA from 1 species
GGCACUCGGCUGAGUCCGCUCCGAGCUCCGUGCUCUGGUCUGUCUAUAGGUAAAGCCUCAGUAGAGCCGCCCCGAGGUUCCACAGGACGCUCCCGGCCAGCUGUGAGUGCCCACUCCGGAGGCGGCGCAGGGGCUCGGCGACGCAGCCACACACCUCGCUCUUGGGAAGUUAAAGCCCAGUGCGACCUCUUCGAGGCUGGAGAGCGGACUUAAGGCCACUUCUGCCCGGAAAGAUGCACGAAUCUGCAGUAACCCGAUGGCUGGCCAAAGCCGAGCGAAAACCGCUGCAGUGAAAAAUGAUUCCAGCGCCACGUCUGCGGCUGAGAACCGAGCGGCAGGGCAGCAAACGACCUGUGGAUCAAUGAAAAGGAGAUGGUCUGCGGGAUGGAAAGGCCAUGUUUUGCGCUCUUGGAGCUGACUCAUCAGAACCAUGCAGCCUUUUGGAAAAGGACGAUUUUAAGUUUCAUAUAUUCAGCAAGAAGAACCUUAGCCAUUCACAGGCCAACUCCCCAUCUUCUACCUGCCAAAGACAGGGUAAGGAAAAUGACUUCCCUUUCUAUAUCGCUGUCUCUGGCCAUCUCUCCUGCAGGUCACAUGGAGAACCAAAUGUAUUGUAUGAAAUUCUGCCUACUUCAAGGAUUGGACAUCUCCAUGGUCCUUUAGAGUCAUCUGAAUCUUUUGACACAGCUAUGGCAGUCUGUAUCUGGAGGCAUCACCGCAAGCACUGGAGGACAGGAAACCAGGAACCAGCCUGCUGUCUGAGGGGUGACUCUAGAAACAUGAAAUGUAAUCCAAUGCAGCUGCCAUCUCAUCUCUCUCCUCCUUGGUUGCACCUGCUUCUCCCUGAUUGUUCCCCUGUGAUGAAGGAAUGGAGGAAAUAUUGUUCUGUCUCAUGUGAACCAGAUUUCAAAGGUUAACAUAGUUUAUACUCUAAAAAUAAAAGCUGAGGUGCAAUAAAAUUCUAAAGAAUU